AAUCUAUGCAGAAACAUAAAUUUCCUUUCCUACUCUCAUUUUAUCUCUCUUAUUUCUUUAUUCUUUUCUAAUGUAUGCACAUACAAAGACCCAAUCAAAUUCACAGCAUAUGAUUACUUUAUAACAGUAUUUAUGCGGACCAUAAAAUCAUGAUUCCAAGCAGCUAUAUCACUCAAAAUACACUCAACACAGUACACACGGCAACAUAUCAUUGCAUCACACUGAAAACCAACAACUACUAUACUGAUCAACCCAUAUACUUUAAUUCUCAUGAUUUGACGGUACUAAAUUAAGAUCAGAGAAAACAAAAAAAGAACAUGGUAGCAUAUAAGAAACAACAUCAUGCACACCCUCACCCAAUAUGAUCAUUCUGGAAGCAUAAAAAUAACCAUCACAGAAACACUCUCCAUUCAAAAACGAUCCCCAAUGGUAUUAUACCCAUUCACAGCCAACACUCUUCCUCUCAUGCAAAGUAGGUUAACAACAACAACUUCAAACACAAUAUGCUACAAAACAUAACAACCCAAAAACCCUUAUACACAUAUGAUAACUUCUUGGUCACUCCCCUUACCAAAAUUGUUUUCUAUUCCCUACUGAUAAUAUAGUUCUCGGCCCUCCUACAAGAGUUUCCUACUGCUCCCAUUCUAAUUUAAAAGAUCAACUAAACAAUGUUUUCUCCUGCAUCGUUCUCAGUAUUCAUCAAACAACAUCUACCCAUUAGUUGUUACCCCUUCACAACUACACUAACUGAUUUAAAUAGUAUAGAAACCUCUCAGUAUAAACUAAACUUCUAAGAAUCCCAACACCCUCAUUCAUGUGUCAAUCAAAAACAUAAAACCCAUCUUUUACUUUAGUCAUAGUAUAUAUAUAAACUCAAUUUCCUCUAUCCUUAUCCGGCAUACUACUACCUCUUCUAACAAAAACUUUCCUUCAUGUGCCUAGAAAUACCAGUAAUCCUCACACUGCAUUGCUUAUAAUAAUGUAUCUAUCACAUACCUAUUAUUCCUACCAUCUAACUAUGUAACCCCUAUAAUCAUCAUACGACCCAAUGCCACAAUAUCAACUUUAAAGAUACCUUUACCAGUGACCAUGGAACCAUAGUACAGAGAUAAAUUACGAAACACAAAAAAAACAAUUAUGAACAUUAUCAUCUCAUUGGUGCAACUACGUACAACCCAAAAAUCUCAUACUAUAAUCACACGCAUCAUGUUCAAUCAAUACAUCAAGGAGUUAGCUUUUGUUACUGUAGAUAAAUCCUAGCUCUCUUUCUUCGCCCAAGGUUCAGAACCAAAAACUUCACCUCCUCCGCGUUAACUUUCUUGCUUCCAAGCAAAACUCCAAAACACUCUUUUGAUUUUCCAGUCACUAUCUUCUAGUGUACACACCACUUUUUUUCUUUCCUUUAAACUUUGUAUAUCUCUUAAAUUUUCCAGAGCCCCUCUCUUAAAUAAAACCAUCCCAAACCACUAACCCCUAUCUAAUUGCACUUUGUUGUCUUUCUUUUCCGGAAAGUCAUUCAAAAGUGACUUUGGCUAUUUUAAUUAUGUUGUUACCCAAAUUUUAAAAUGAGUUAAGUGGCCCCAC
rnacentral:lncRNA from 1 species